rnacentral:rRNA from 1 species
GUCGAACGCUGGCGGCGUGCCUAAUACAUGCAAGUCGAACGAGUUGCGAACGGGUGAGUAACGCGUGGUAACCUGCCUCAUAGCGGGGGAUAACUAUUGGAAACGAUAGCUAAUACCGCAUACUUUGAGAUGGACCUGCGUUGUAUUAGCUAGUGGGUGAGGUAAAGGCUCACCAAGGCGACGAUACAUAGCGGACCUGAGAGGGUGACAGGCCACACUGGAACUGAGACACGGUCCAGACUCCUACGGGAGGCAGCAGUGGGGAAUAUUGCACAAUGGGCGCAAGCCUGAUGCAGCCAUGCCGCGUGUAUGAAGAAGGCCUUCGGGUUGUAAAGUACUUUCAGCGGGGAGGCGUUACCCGCAGAAGAAGCACCGGCUAACUCCGUGCCAGCAGCCGCGGUAAUAC